UUAAUUAAUAUUAUUUCAUAAAAGAAACUAUUUAUUUGUUCUUCUAAAUAUGCCCUAACCUCUUUCCGAUCCCCUUUGAGCGUACCCAGCCAGAACCUCCAUUGUCCUGCCACUAUCCGCCAUCGACCUCCGUCGCACCUGCCAAUAUCCCGCCGUCAACCUUCGUCAACACCAGCAGAACCUCAAUUUUCUUUUUCCUCCACCUAUCAAAUUUAUCUCCUCCACCAGAAACAGCAACCAUUCAAUUAAUCAAAGCUCCAUGGUUUCAAAUAGUCCCAAAAUUCUAGGGUUUUUUUCUCGAUUAAGCUCGACUACAACUUCUUAUUCUCACUGAGCCUUAACUGUAGGUUUUCGCUCGACUCUCGCAAAGCUCUUCUUUUAUUCCUUUUGUAAUUUCUCAAUAGUUGAGCCAUAACUUGUAAGUUUUCUUAAAUGCAACUGAUAGCUGGUUUCUCAAUAGAUGAAAAUGCAACUGAUAGUUGUGGGAUAAAUAAUUAAUUUAAACAAGAUUCAGAAGGUGAAAAGCCUUGUGCUUGUUAUACAUAUUGUAUCUAUGGUUCUAUGCAAGGAAGGAGGCAUUACAGUUACAAUAGCUUAUUAUAGUAAACAUCAAUGUGCAAGAUUUCUUACUAGCUUAUUGUAUUGGUUGGAGUAGAAGGCACAUCUUUGUCUCUUCUUGAAUCUUUGCAACUGUUUGAGAACAAGUUUUCUGGUGAGAUUCCUAUUGAAUUUGAAAGGGAAAAUGACUGAUCUUUUGCUAGUCUUUUCAUUCUUGGAACAAAUUAUUAUAAUGAACAUCGCCGCACGACUUCAGCGUCUGAACCCAGAUUUGCGACUUGAUCAUGACAUGCUAAGGUUCAGUGCACGUUCACCUGUAGAAGCUUCCUCUGCACAUCAAGCUGCUAUUCAACUAAACAAUCGACCAUCUGCUGGUAGUAACAAUCAAGAUCAGUGGAGUAGAUCAAGAAAUGGAUGAUGAAGGCAGUGAAGAACUAAACCUUGAGAUGAAUUUUGAAUUGCUAUAGAUGAAUGUUCUAGGAAUCUUUUGUUAUCAGCAUUUUUGAAACUCACUCUCUUGAAAUGUACUAAACUUAUGCACUUGGGGUAGAACAUUUGCUUUAUGGAUAUUAUUUGCAUGAUGGAUAAUUUAUAUUAUUAAUAGUUUCAUUUUA